UGUGUAGGCGGUCCUCUAAGUUUGGUGUGAAAUCUCCCGGCUCAACUGGGAGGGUGCGCCGAAAAACUGGAGGGCUAGAGUGCGGGAUGGGAAAGUGGAAUUCCUGGUGUAGCGGUGAAAUGCGUAGAUAUCAGGAGGAACACCUGUGGUGUAGACGGCUUUCUGGACCGCAACUGACGCUGAGACACGAAAGCGUGGGUAGCAAACAGGAUUAGAUACCCUGGUAGUCCACGCCCUAAACGAUGCAUAUUUGGUGUGGGCCAUUCAUUUGGUCCGUGCCGGAGCUAACGCGUUAAAUAUGCCGCCUGGGGAGUACGGUCGCAAGGCUGAA
rnacentral:rRNA from 1 species